rnacentral:lncRNA from 1 species
CUCAGUUUAGUGACAUGGGGGUCGAUAUAAAUGUGCUCAGUUGACGAUCGAUAUAAAUGUGCUCAGUUUAGCGACAUGGCGGUCUAUUGGAUAUGGAUUGCUCAGUUUAACGACGUGGCGGUCAAUUGAAUAUUUGUUGCUCAGUUUAAAGACAUGGCGGUCUAUAUAAGAGUGCUCAGUUUAGUGACAUGGCGGUCUAUUGGAUAUGGAUUGCUCAGUUUAACGACGUGGCGGUCAAUUGAAUAUUUGUUGCUCAGUUUAACGACAUGGCGGUCGAUUGGAUAUGAGCUGCUCAGUUUAACGACAUGGCGGUCGAUUGGAUAUGGGUUACUCAGUUUAACGACAUGGC